GUGCUCGCUUCAGCAACACAUAUAAUAAAAUUGGAACAGGACAGAGAAGAUCAGCAUGGCCCCUGCGUAAGGAUGACUGGCAAAUUCACGAAGCGUUCCAUAUUAGA
ensembl:snRNA U6 U6 spliceosomal RNA